AGUCUACUUAUGCACCCCUAUUUUUCAGGCUGAAGGUGCUUCCACAGAGCAGGCAUUAUCAUCAGCUCUAACAAGUAUUAUGGAUGCGCUGAAGAGUACUGACUGGAAUACAAGGAAGGAUGCCUCACUAGCUCUUUCAAGUAUUGUGGUCAGUUCUGGGUAUUUGAUUACCUCUUUCAGAACUUCCUGCCUUCGCUCACUUGAGUGUAGUAAAUUUGACAAGGUAAAACUGGUACGUGACACCAUUAUACAUGCAGUUCAGCUGUGGAAAGCUAUUCCAGGGUCUCAUACUCCUGAACCAUCAGAAGCUGGACCAUCAACAUAAGGUUGCAAAGUAGACAUCCCCUAUUUCUAUAGUUCAUGCUUCAUGGUCACACUUCAAAGAACCCCCCCACGAGCGCUUCCCCAGUGGAUGCGUGCCCGGACCGGCGGUGGCUCCCUCCUCUCUGGCUGCUAUGGCAGGGGACCCUGCAGCGGCGUGAAACACACUUGUAGAUUGCAAGCAUUGUAGCUUCUGGUAUUCAACCUCUCCAUAACCUCACAGUGUUGAGGUUCAUUGACCAGAAGGUUGGUGCAUGGGAGAGUGUGUUGUGGACUCAACAACAAAUCGAGAGAGGUUUCACAGCUAUUGAGAACCUGAUACAACUAAAAGGAUGCGCCGGGAAGUAUGCAACAGGAGAUGAAGUCCAAUUGCUUCAAAAUCAAGUCCGACUUCCAAGAAGAGCAAGGAUGACGAUGAUUCUGAUGAGGACGAGACAGAUGAAACCAAUUGCCUUUUAAUGGUCUAUGUUAUCAUUCAAAAUUACCUUAUGUUGACACUAUGUAUAUAUGUUAUUCACAAUAACAGAGCCAUUCAUGCUGUUGGGCGCUUGGAUGAACUAUCUUUUCUUCAACAAAGAUGGAGCUUAUGCA